GGGGGAGAGGGCCUCCAGUGGGAAGGAGGUCGGAGACCUGAGACCCCGGUCUCCUCCAGGCAAAAUUCUCGCAGCGACCUGCCAGGCGCUACCCGACCUACCCUCCGCCCAUCCCUGUCCGGGCCUGCAGCCUGGAAACCUGCCUCCGGAGACAUCCCCAUGGGGCCGGACGUGUGGGUCGCUUUCAGGUUUUGUCAUUACAAUCAAGGCUGCAACGCACAUCCUUUUCUGUGCAAAACGCUUGCAGUUUGAAAUGUGAUUCACGGAGGAACCCUAGGAGACACUUAGACUGUUCCUUGAAAAUCAGGGAGCCACCAUCAUUCUAGUCCACAUGGCCCAGAAGCAGCCAGCCAACACGCGCUCUCUUCCCUAGCCACCGAGAUUGAUUCAGGGGUGAGCCUGUGACACACGCAGGGCCAAAGCAUAAUCCACGCAGGACGUAGGCGCCAAUCAUUGAAAAAGACAUUCUACGCUCUCUGGAGCCAGCCGUCGUGCACAGAAAUGUCGGUGAGACUACUGAAUGGUGACCGGCCAUGUGGAGGGAGAAGCCACUUGGAGAACCAGGAUGCCCCAGCCAUCAGCUAGGAUGGAGAUCUUAGGACACGUGAGAAGGCCAUGUUGGAUUCUCCAGCCCCACCCAACUAAUACCACACAGGGCAUCCACACUGAGCCCUGCCCAAAUCCUUUUUUUUCCUCCCAAAUUCUUCUUCUUAACGUUUAUUUAUUUUUGAGAGAGAGAGACAGAGCAUGAAUGGGUAAGG